GACGAACGCUGGCGGCGUGCUUAACACAUGCAAGUCGAACGGAAAGGCCUGCCUUCCCUUGUGGAUUGCGGGUACUCGAGUGGCGAACGGGUGAGUAACACGUGAGUGAUCUGCCCCCAACUUGGGUAUAAGCCUGGGAAACUGGGUCUAAUUCCCGAUAGGACUGCAGGGUGGUGCCUGUGGUGGAAAACGAUUUUCUAGUGGUUGGGGAUGAGCUCGCGGCCUAUCAGCUUGUUGGUGGGGUAAUGGCCUACCAAGGCGGCGACGGGUAGCCGGCCUGGGAGGGUGGACGGCCACAUUGGGACUGAGAUACGGCCCAGACUCCUACGGGAGGCAGCAGUGGGGAAUAUUGCACAAUGGGCGGAAGCCUGAUGCAGCGACGCCGCGUGGGGGAUGACGGCCUUCGGGUUGUAAACUCCUUUCGACCGCGAGGAAGCCACCUGGUUGGAAGGGUGGUGACGGUAGUGGUAGAAGAAGCACCGGCUAACUACGUG
rnacentral:rRNA from 1 species